rnacentral:lncRNA from 1 species
GGAAGAAAAAGAUAUCAAACCCCAGUAUCCAAAGACCCCGGAACCGUAUCGAUCCCGACCCCUGCUUGGUAUCGAUUGAUCAAUGCCCCUGCCGAAAAGAGGAAUUGCCCUUUAAAAUGGUUGGGAAAGAGAUUGGGAGGGAGGGUUGAUAUUAAUCAAAGCAGGCCCCUCAGAAGGACGGCAGAGCAGCACGGGGAAGAGGAAACAAAAGAAGGAGGUUUGCCGAACAGCCUCGAAUAUUACGGCGGGAGAAGCGAUCAGUUAAUGGCACUGGAUGCAAUGAGACAUUCCAGGAGCUUCCCUAAUCUCCUGAUUUUUGGGAGAAACUCCCGCCCCCCUGGCCCAGUGGACCUGAGAGAGUGAAGGGAAGACAGGCUGCUGUCCACAGUCAGCUGAGCCCCUGCUGUGCGUUUAGGGUGACAGAUGGUG